rnacentral:rRNA from 1 species
GGUUAAGCGACUAAGCGUACACGGUGGAUGCCCUGGCAGUCAGAGGCGAUGAAGGACGUGCUAAUCUGCGAAAAGCGUCGGUAAGGUGAUAUGAACCGUUAUAGCCGGCGAUGUCCGAAUGGGGAAACCCAGUGCAAUUCGUUGCACUAUCGUUAACUGAAUACAUAGGUUAACGAGGCGAACCGGGGGAACUGAAACAUCUAAGUACCCCGAGGAAAAGAAAUCAACCGAGAUUCCCCCAGUAGCGGCGAGCGAACGGGGAGCAGCCCGGAGUCUGAAUCAGCUUGUGUGUUAGUGGAAGCGUCUGGAAAGUCGCAGGGUACAGGGUGAUACUCCCGUACACUAAAACACACAGGUUGUGAACUCGAAGAGUAGGGCGGGACACGUGGUAUCCUGUCUGAAUAUGGGGGGACCAUCCUCCAAGGCUAAAUACUCCUGACUGACCGAUAGUGAACCAGUACCGUGAGGGAAAGGCGAAAAGAACCCCGGCGAGGGGAGUGAAAAAGAACCUGAAACCGUGUACGUACAAGCAGUAGGAGCCCACUUGUUGGGUGACUGCGUACCUUUUGUAUAAUGGGUCAGCGACUUAUAUUCUGUAGCAAGGUUAACCGUAUAGGGGAGCCGCAGGGAAACCGAGUCUUAACUGGGCGUUAAGUUGCAGGGUAUAGACCCGAAACCCGGUGAUCUAGCCAUGGGCAGGUUGAAGGUUGGGUAACACUAACUGGAGGACCGAACCGACUAAUGUUGAAAAAUUAGCGGAUGACUUGUGGCUGGGGGUGAAAGGCCAAUCAAACCGGGAGAUAGCUGGUUCUCCCCGAAAGCUAUUUAGGUAGCGCCUCGUGAAUUCAUCUUCGGGGGUAGAGCACUGUUUCGGCUAGGGGGUCAUCCCGACUUACCAACCCGAUGCAAACUACGAAUACCGAAGAAUGUUAUCACGGGAGACACACGGCGGGUGCUAACGUCCGUCGUGAAGAGGGAAACAACCCAGACCGCCAGCUAAGGUCCCAAAGUCAUGGUUAAGUGGGAAACGAUGUGGGAAGGCCCAGACAGCCAGGAUGUUGGCUUAGAAGCAGCCAUCAUUUAAAGAAAGCGUAAUAGCUCACUGGUCGAGUCGGCCUGCGCGGAAGAUGUAACGGGGCUAAACCAUGCACCGAAGCUGCGGCAGCGACACUAUGUGUUGUUGGGUAGGGGAGCGUUCUGUAAGCCGUUGAAGGUGGCCUGUGAGGGUUGCUGGAGGUAUCAGAAGUGCGAAUGCUGACAUAAGUAACGAUAAUGCGGGUGAAAAACCCGCACGCCGGAAGACCAAGGGUUCCUGUCCAACGUUAAUCGGGGCAGGGUGAGUCGACCCCUAAGGCGAGGCCGAAAGGCGUAGUCGAUGGGAAACAGGUUAAUAUUCCUGUACUCGGUGUUACUGCGAAGGGGGGACGGAGAAGGCUAUGUUGGCCGGGCGACGGUUGUCCCGGUUUAAGCAUGUAGGCGGAUGUUCCAGGUAAAUCCGGAACGUCACUAACGCUGAGGUGUGAUGACGAGGCACUACGGUGCUGAAGUGACAAAUGCCCUGCUUCCAGGAAAAGCCUCUAAGCAUCAGGUAACAUCAAAUCGUACCCCAAACCGACACAGGUGGUCAGGUAGAGAAUACCAAGGCGCUUGAGAGAACUCGGGUGAAGGAACUAGGCAAAAUGGUGCCGUAACUUCGGGAGAAGGCACGCUGAUGGUAGGUGAAGCGACUUGCUCGUGGAGCUGAAAUCAGUCGAAGAUACCAGCUGGCUGCAACUGUUUAUUAAAAACACAGCACUGUGCAAACACGAAAGUGGACGUAUACGGUGUGACGCCUGCCCGGUGCCGGAAGGUUAAUUGAUGGGGUUAUCCGUAAGGAGAAGCUCUUGAUCGAAGCCCCGGUAAACGGCGGCCGUAACUAUAACGGUCCUAAGGUAGCGAAAUUCCUUGUCGGGUAAGUUCCGACCUGCACGAAUGGCGUAAUGAUGGCCAGGCUGUCUCCACCCGAGACUCAGUGAAAUUGAACUCGCUGUGAAGAUGCAGUGUACCCGCGGCAAGACGGAAAGACCCCGUGAACCUUUACUAUAGCUUGACACUGAACACUGGUCCUUGAUGUGUAGGAUAGGUGGGAGGCUUUGAAGUGUGGACGCCAGUCUGCAUGGAGCCAUCCUUGAAAUACCACCCUUUAAUGGCUGGUGUUCUAACGUGGGCCCCUAAUCGGGGUUGCGGACAGUGUCUGGUGGGUAGUUUGACUGGGGCGGUCUCCUCCUAAAGAGUAACGGAGGAGCACGAAGGUCAGCUAAUCCUGGUCGGACAUCAGGAGGUUAGUGCAAUGGCAUAAGCUGGCUUGACUGCGAGCGUGACGGCGCGAGCAGGUGCGAAAGCAGGUCAUAGUGAUCCGGUGGUUCUGAAUGGAAGGGCCAUCGCUCAACGGAUAAAAGGUACUCCGGGGAUAACAGGCUGAUACCGCCCAAGAGUUCAUAUCGACGGCGGUGUUUGGCACCUCGAUGUCGGCUCAUCACAUCCUGGGGCUGAAGUAGGUCCCAAGGGUAUGGCUGUUCGCCAUUUAAAGUGGUACGCGAGCUGGGUUUAGAACGUCGUGAGACAGUUCGGUCCCUAUCUGCCGUGGGCGCUGGAGAAUUGAGGGGGGCUGCUCCUAGUACGAGAGGACCGGAGUGGACGCAUCACUGGUGUUCGGGUUGUCAUGCCAAUGGCAUUGCCCGGUAGCUAAAUGCGGAAGAGAUAAGUGCUGAAAGCAUCUAAGCACGAAACUUGCCCCGAGAUGAGUUCUCCCUGACUCCUUGAGAGUCCUGAAGGAACGUUGAAGACGACGACGUUGAUAGGCCGGGUGUGUAAGCGCAGCGAUGCGUUGAGCUAACCGGUACUAAUGAACCGUGAGGCUUAACCUU